rnacentral:rRNA from 1 species
GUGCCAGCAGCCGCGGUAAGACAGAGGGGGCAAGCGUUGCUCGGAAUCACUGGGCGUAAAGGGCGCGUAGGCGGGAUGGCAAGUCGGUCGUGAAAUCCCUGGGCUCAACUCAGGGGGGUCGGCCGAUACUGCCGUUCUUGAGGGAUGCAGAGGAGACUGGAAUUCCCGGUGUAGCGGUGAAAUGUGUAGAGAUCGGGAGGAACACCGGUGGCGAAGGCGGGUCUCUGGGCAUUCCCUGACGCUGAGGCGCGAAAGCGUGGGGAGCAAACGGGAUUAGAAACCCCCGUAGUCC